UGGAGCUGGGACUUGGUAUGACAGAUCUCAGCUGUGAAAGGUGUGGAGCUUGGACUUGGUAUGACAGAUCUCAGCUGUGAAAGGUGUGGAGCUGGGACUUGGUAUGACAGAUCUCAGCUGUGAAAGGUGUGGAGCUGGGACUUGGUAUGACAGAUCUCAGCUGUGAAAGGUGUGGAGCUGGGACUUGUUAUGACAGAUCUCAGCUGUGAAAGGUGUGGAGCUUGGACUUGGUAUGACAGAUCUCAGCUGUGAAAGGUGUGGAGCUUGGACUUGGUAUGACAGAUCUCAGCUGUGAAAGGUGUGGAGCUGGGACUUGGUAUGACAGAUCUCAGCUGUGAAAGGUGUGGAGCUAGGACUUGGUAUGACAGAUCUCAGCUGUGAAAGGUGUGGAGCUGGGACUUGGUAUGACAGAUCUCAGCUGUGAAAGGUGUGGAGCUGGGACUUGGUAUGACAGAUCCCAGCUGUGAAAGGUGUGGAGCUGGGACUUGGUAUGACAGAUCUCAGCUGUGAAAGGUGUGGAGCUUGGACUUGUUAUGACAGAUCUCAGCUGUGAAAGGUGUGGAGCUUGGACUUGUUAUGACAGAUCUCAGCUGUGAAAGGUGUGAAGCUGGGACUUGGUAUGACAGAUCUCAGCUGUGAAAGCUGUGGAGCUGGGACUUGUUAUGGCAGAUCUCAGCUGUGAAAGGUGUGGAGCUGGGACUUGGUAUGACAGAUCUCAGCUGUGAAAGGUGUGGAGCUGGGACUUGGUAUGACAGAUCUCAGCUGUGAAAGGCUGUCUGAACAGGCUGAAAUGGCUCACACAAUUCCGAUCCAUGUUUAUGCCUGGCUUUUUUGGAAAUUACUCAACCAUUUCCUCAGUUAUUGUUAUGACAAGUGCAUGUACCAAGUAUGUAUGUGUUGGAAUUGCAUAUGAUUUUGUGUGUGUAUAUUUUGAUAUUUGGUUUGACCCAGUUGAGAGAUUUUGUUCUCAGCUAUGAUUUCACAGAAUUCCAGUCAGAUACAAUGACUAUAAACUGGGUAUCCAUACCUUGAGUCCAACCCUAGAGCACCAAGGUCUCACCAACAUAGAAAUGAUAUCAUAUACAUGGAGAAAAAUGGCCCGGAGUUGUUUUUCAGAUAUGCUAGCCAUGGAAACUAAAUUUGACUUCCAAAAGAAAUGGUUCAAGCAAUAUGUGGAGACUUUCUGUAGGAUGGUUGAGGGAACGUUUCACCUUGCAACUCCUUGUCAUAAAAAAUAUUGUGUAAGCAGUGUGUUUGACCAAUGUGACUGUUCUGUCAGUAAGCACAGUCAAACCCAAUACAGGCACUGCCACUGUCAAGGCAGGGGUCUGAACCAGUUGGAGGAGAGUCACUUCCUUAUGAAACACAGAUGAAGUUAUCUCCCUUUGAACACAGCAGCAGGAGUAAUGGGACCCAGCACACAAGGUACAUGGUGUGUGAGACUGGCCCAGUCAGGACACAACACUCAUUCAGGCCCCCAAGUAAGGGAGGUUGUGAACACCCAAGCAGGUUUCCUCAUGGGAGCAUCAAUACCAUGAAAGAGCACCACAAUGCUUUGCAGAUCAUAGUGACAUCAUCUCGAGGUGCAAACUUACAUCGACUUGAGUUGAUAAAUUUGUUGUCAAAAGACGCUGUGGUGAGACUGUGUUGUGUUAGAACAGCCGCUCCAUUGUGUGAGUGCACUAUUGAGGAGAACAAUGCAGUCAGCCCAUGACAUUUGUAUAUUUCUUGUACAAAUCAUUAAAUAUUUUCUCAUGAA